CUACGGGAGGCAGCAGUAGGGAAUCUUCCGCAAUGGGCGAAAGCCUGACGGAGCGACGCCGCGUGAGCGAAGAAGGCCUUCGGGUCGUAAAGCUCUGUUGUGAGGGACGAAGGAGCGCCGUUCGAAGAGGGCGGCGCGGUGACGGUACCUCACGAGGAAGCCCCGGCUAACUACGUGCCAGCAGCCGCGGUAAUACGUAGGGGGCGAGCGUUGUCCGGAAUUAUUGGGCGUAAAGCGCGCGCAGGCGGUUCCUUAAGUCUGAUGUGAAAGCCCACGGCUCAACCGUGGAGGGUCAUUGGAAACUGGGGGACUUGAGUGCAGGAGAGGAGAGCGGAAUUCCACGUGUAGCGGUGAAAUGCGUAGAGAUGUGGAGGAACACCAGUGGCGAAGGCGGCUCUCUGGCCUGCAACUGACGCUGAGGCGCGAAAGCGUGGGGAGCAAACAGGAUUAGAUACCCUGGUAGUCCACGCCGUAAACGAUGAGUGCUAAGUGUUAGAGGGGUCACACCCUUUAGUGCUGCAGCUAACGCGAUAAGCACUCCGCCUGGGGAGUACGGCCGCAAGGCUGAAACUCAAAGGAAUUGACGGGGGCCCGCACAAGCGGUGG
rnacentral:rRNA from 1 species